rnacentral:rRNA from 1 species
CACGUAGGAGGCGAGCGUUGUCCGGAAUCAUUGGGCGUAAAGAGCGCGCAGGCGGCCCGGCAAGUCGGGUGUGAAAUCCCGGGGCUCAACCCCGGGACUGCAUUCGAUACUGUCGGGCUAGAGGUAGGUAGGGGAGAUCGGAAUUCCUGGUGUAGCGGUGAAAUGCGCAGAUAUCAGGAGGAACACCGGUGGCGAAGGCGGAUCUCUGGGCCUUACCUGACGCUCAGGCGCGAAAGCUAGGGGAGCGAACGGG